rnacentral:rRNA from 1 species
UACGGGGGGGGGCAAGCGUUGUUCGGAAUUACUGGGCGUAAAGGGCUCGUAGGUGGCCAACUAAGUCGGACGUGAAAUCCCUCGGCUUAACCGGGGAACUGCGUCUGAUACUGGAUGGCUUGAGUUUGGGAGAGGGAUGCGGAAUUCCAGGUGUAGCGGUGAAAUGCGUAGAUAUCGAGAGGAACACCUGCGGCGAAGGCGGGUUGCUGGGCUGAUGACUGACGCUGAGGCGCGAAAGCCAGGGGAGCGAACGGG